AACGAACGCUGGCGGCGUGCCUAACACAUGCAAGUCGAACGGGAAAGCCCGCAAGGGUGAGUACAGUGGCGCACGGGUGCGUAACACGUGGGUAAUCUGCCCAGAAGCCCGGAAUAACUCCCCGAAAGGGGUGCUAAUGCCGGAUGAGACCACGGGGACCUCGGUUCCUGGGGGAAAAGGUGGCCUCUGUAUACAAGCUAUCACUUCUGGAUGAGCCCGCGGCCCAUCAGCUAGUUGGCGGGGUAAUGGCCCACCAAGGCUACGACGGGUAGCUGGGCUGAGAGGACGAUCAGCCACGCUGGAACUGAGACACGAUCCAGACUCCUACGGGAGGCAGCAGUGUGGAAUCUUGCGCAAUGGGCGAAAGCCUGACGCAGCAACGCCGCGUGUGUGAUGAAGGUCUUCGGAUCGUAAAGCACUGUCGGGAGGGACGAAUAAGGGCCGGGUGAACAAUCCGGUCCGACGACGGUACCUCCAGAGGAAGCACCGGCUAACUCUGUGCCAGCCGCCGCUGUAACAC
rnacentral:rRNA from 1 species